rnacentral:rRNA from 1 species
AGUAGAGCGGCGCACGGGUGAGUAACGCGUGGGUAACCUACCCCUGGGCGGGGGAUAACCACUCGAAAGGGUGGCUAAUACCGCAUGAGACCACGGGGCCUUCGGGUCCUGAGGCCAAAGGUGGCACCGGCUUGCCGGUGCUGUCACCUGGGGAUGGGCCCGCGUACGAUUAGCUGGUUGGUAGGGUAACGGCCUACCAAGGCUACGAUCGUUAGCUGGUCUGAGAGGAUGGCCAGCCACACUGGAACUGGAACACGGUCCAGACUCCUACGGGAGGCAGCAGUGAGGAAUAUUGCGCAAUGGGGGAAACCCUGACGCAGCAACGCCGCGUGGGUGAAGAAGGCCUUCGGGUCGUAAAGCCCUUUCGGACGGGACGAACGCUUCGCGGUGACAACCCGCGAAGUCUGACGGUACCGUAAGAAGAAGCACCGGCUAACUCCGUGCCAGCAGCCGCGGUAAUACGGAGGGUGCAAGCGUUGUUCGGAAUUACUGGGCGUAAAGCGCGUGUAGGCGGCCUGGUAAGUCAGAUGUGAAAGCCCUCGGCUUAACCGGGGAAGGGCAUCUGAAACUGCCUGGCUUG